UUUGGUGACUCAAUCUCGGCGACCAUGAUUCAGUCUUGAUACAUUCAGUUUGAUUCCGGCGAGAGCGGAGAUGAUGAGCCAACCACCUCAUCCCCUCAUCACCUCGUCAUUUGUUUCACAGGGUCGACGGCGUCUCGUUCUUGUGAAUGAUGCACUCAUCAAACAUUGUGCUUCUUUAUGCUCCAUCAACACCGAUGAGCCCGAGCCCGACCUCACAAAUGAACGUCAUCGCAGCCUGACGAACAUACAAGCCAACAACUUGCUCGGCACACACGAUCUCAACACGAGACUUCGGGUCGGCAAUAGUUCGGUAAACUUGUAUUUUAGGCACGAGUUUAAAUUGAACUUGCUUUUUAUUAGGCACGAGUUUGCGGUCGACUCGCUUAUUGUUAGAUACGAGUUUACAAAAACUCAACUUUGGCUAGGCAUGAGUUUACAGAAGCUCUCCUUCUACUAGGCACGAGUUCUCAGUAAACUCGCCUUUGUCUUAGCAUGAGUCAAGUAAACUCGUCUUUCGCUAAGCAUGAGUUUAAAGCAAAAUCGCUUUACAAUCGAGAAGCAGACAAGUGACCCGCACCAAGAAUGACGAGCUCAAAUUCUCUCAACGAGCUUGCCGCAACCGGCACAAGCUCAAGACGAACUCAUUUUAAGCUCGGCUUGGAUAAGAGAUAACCACACCAUCUCAUCUCGGCGAGGUCUCUUCUUGAUCCAUGGCUGUCCAUCUCGGAGAGGUCUCCUCUCGAUUCAUAGCUAUCCGUCUCGACAAGAUCUCCAUCUCAGCAAGUCGUUCGUUGGUCUCUUUGGUGGCUCUUCAUUCCGGUCGUGUUAGCACCGUCACUACUGAUUUAGUGGACUUGCUCAAGUGGUCAAGUGAUUCAGAGUAACAUCACGUUCUGGUCAAGUGGAAACCAAGAAGGCUUUCGGUAACAUGUGUGGUGGAGAUGAUGACUCGAUCACGGUUCAUACGGUUGCCUACAUGAGACCGAAGAAGAAAGGAGUUCGAGCUCAUUGUCUCUCUCUCGGCAACCACUCCAACUUCUCCACCGCAAAGAUAAGUUCUUGUCUUGAAUUAUUACAUGUUUUAAUAACUUUUAAAUUUAUGCUACGGUAAACAUUGUGGCAUUAAUCUAAAUUAUUAAACAAUUUUGAGCAGUUCAUUCUCAUAUAAUCUUUAUGAGAUGACUCAUGUCAUCGCUUUAUUGUUGGUAACCUAUGAUACUAAUAAUUAAUGAUUAUCAUGUCAUCAUGUGCAACUCACUACCGUUAAGGGAAAACAAGUUCAACCUAGCUUGCUUAUUAAUUAUGCAACUGUUUGGUUAUUUCUUUUGGUUUAUAUUGAUCUAAUCAUGAUCAUGCCUUUUGUGAACCAGAGUCAAAGAGAAAAACAGAGCCAACAAGCUAGCAAAGAAUCUGACGAAAUGACAUCAGUCAUCACACCUCCAUUAAAAGCUCUUGCUUCUCUUUGCCGACUUGUUCUGUGGAACACAGAGCUUACCACCAUCUCAGCUCAGACAAGAACGAUCCAUUGAGGCAGAGCUCACCACCAUCUCAGCUCAGACAAGAGCGAUACAUUGAGAUAAGUUUUCCCAAUAUUAACUAAUUAUUAUCAUUAGACCACCUUCUUUAAAACGUCAAAAUGCACGUCUAUUGAUAGUUUGGCAGCUAAUUGCUUUAUUAAAAUUAUUGGGAAAGUUAAUGGAUUAUGGUAGUCAUACGUAAACCCUUGUCCCUUGCUAGGGAAAAUUAAUAUGCUAGCAGCAAGGAAAAACUAAUAUGCUAGCCCGAGUAUCAAGUCAUAAAGCAUAUCAACUCUUACAUUUUUUUUUUGUGAGUUGCAAGGUCUAAUUAUUAAUGGGGUUUAAAUUUUAUUUGUGAAGAUUAUCUCUUUGGUGACUCAAUCUCGGCGACCAUGAUUCAGUCUUGAUACAUUCAGUUUGAUUCCGGCGAGAGCGGAGAUGAUGAGCCAACCACCUCAUCCCCUCAUCACCUCGUCAUUUGUUUCACAGGGUCGACGGCGUCUCGUUCUUGUGAAUGAUGCACUCAUCAAACAUUGUGCUUCUUUAUGCUCCAUCAACACCGAUGAGCCCGAGCCCGACCUCACAAAUGAACGUCAUCGCAGCCUGACGAACAUACAAGCCAACAACUUGCUCGGCACACACGAUCUCAACACGAGACUUCGGGUCGGCAAUAGUUCGGUAAACUUGUAUUUUAGGCACGAGUUUAAAUUGGACUUGCUUUUUAUUAGGCACGAGUUUGCGGUCGACUCGCUUAUUGUUAGACACGAGUUUACGAAAACUCAACUUUGGCUAGGCAUGAGUUUACAGAAGUUCUCCUUCUACUAGGCACGAGUUCUCAGUAAACUCGCCUCUGUCUUAGCAUGAGUCAAGUAAACUCGUCUUUCGCUAAGCAUGAGUUUAAAGCAAACUCGCUUUUUACUAGGCACAAGUUCGAAAUAAACUCGCCUAAACCGUCAUAGGCAUGAGUAUGUCUAGUUCAUUGUCUAAUAAACCCUAUUCGUAAACUUCGC
rnacentral:lncRNA from 1 species